UCAGUUGCAACUGUGACAUUACGCCGAGGCUCUGAAGUGGGUAAUUGCAGACCAAAGCUAGGCUGGAAGGCUAUAUUUGAGGUGGUCAUUAGCGUUGUGGUCUGUACCUUGACUCCCAGAUGUUCACUGUGAAUCUUGUUGGUGCUGGUAUCACUGUACCUCUCAAAUAGCUUCCCCAUUUUGACUAAGAAUGAAGAGAUUCUUGGAUAAAGAACUUGUAAAAAUCAGGUACAAUAAUAAAGUUGUGAAUGGUUCUUGGAAUUUGCUAAAAUGAAAUGCUGCAUCUAAGUGCAAUUCUCCUCCAAUUUUGGCAUACUGUGUCCCACCUUGACAUUAAGAAGUUAUUAGUCAGCACUGGAGAGGCUGUGCUGCAGUAAUGAAUGUUGGUGACUUAAAACAGGGCAAGUCUGUUUCUUACUCCUUUUACAUGGUGGCUGUAAAUUGACCAGGAACUCUGCUCUACAUUUUCCUCAUUUAAGGACCCUGGCUGAGGAGGGGGCUCCAUCUUCAUUCUUCCACAAAUACUGCAGCAAAGAAAAAGUAAAAUGGCAAAUAGCACACAGACUAUUAAAUCUUCUCCCUAGAAUGACUAUUUGUCACUUCUGAUCACACUAAUUGAUUAAAUCAAAUCACGUGGCCAUGUUAAUUUCAAAUGGGGUCAAGAAGAGUAAUCCCCUCAUGUGCCUAGAAGGAAAAAAGCCAGAAUGUUUAGUGCACUAAUGAUUUCCACAGGAAAUUUCCACAGGAAAGAUUAGAGAUGGCAACUCUUCUAACCCAUUCUUAGUUCAAGCCAGAUUUCAGUGUGGAAUUUCUUCCUUUUCUAGUUGUAGAACUCCAGGAGUAUAACAAUGGAUGAUAACUCUCUUCAAGGAUUUAUGAGAGAAUAGUAUAUGAAGCAUUAGGAUCAACUGUUUUACUAUUCAUUCAUUUAUUUAUAUGGUCUUUCUUUUGCCCCCAAGUGAGAGUUGAAGCCAGCUGGACUUCCUGGGUAAAGUGGGGACUUGGAGAACUUUUCUGUCUAGCUAGAGGAUUGUAAACGCACCAAUCAGUGUUCUGUGUCUAGCUAAAGGAUUGUAAAUGCACCAAUCAGCACUCUGUAAAAACGCACCAAUCAGCACUCUGUAAAAUGGACCAAUCUACACUCUGUAAACUGGACCAAUCAACAGGACGUGAGCAGGACCAAAUAAGGAACUAAAAGCUGACCACCCAAGCCAGCAGCAGAAAUCUGCUGGGGUCCCCUUCCAUGCUUUGGAAGCUUUGUUCUUUCCCUCUUCACAAUAAGUCUUGCUGCCGCUCACUCUUUGGGUCCACACUACCUUUAUGAGCUGUAACACACACCGCCGGGGUCUGUGGCUUUAUUCCUGAAGCCAGCGAGACCACGAACCCACCGGAAGGAAGAAACUCUGGACACAUUGGAAGGAGCAAACUCCAGACUCACCAUCUUUAAGAGCUGUAACACUCACCGGGAAGAAGGUCCCUAGCUUCAUUCUUGAAGUCAGCAAGACCAGCAAUCCACCAGAAGGAACCAAUUCCAGACACACAAGGAGGAUAUAAUUUGAAAUGGUCCAGAGUUUCUGCUUUCCUGGAGAAUCAUUCACCCCAUUACCCCUCUGGCAUUACUGAUCCCGGAUCUUAAAAUGAAGAAAGAGUGAAUGUGCAAGUGUAUAGGAAAAAUGGCUUCAAGUGACAAAGUAAACCCUUUUGUGACUCAGUUGGACCAGCACCUGUUGUUUCCUGACUUUUGAAUGAUCGCCAUUCUAACUGGUGUG